rnacentral:rRNA from 1 species
UACGUAGGGGGCAAGCGUUGUCCGGAUUUAUUGGGCGUAAAGAGCGUGUAGGCGGCUAUGCAGGUCCGUUGUGAAAACUCGAGGCUCAACCUCGAGACGCCGAUGGAAACCGCAUGGCUAGAGUCCGGAAGAGGAGAGUGGAAUUCCUGGUGUAGCGGUGAAAUGACGCAGAUAUCAGGAGGAACACCGGUGGCGAAGGCGGGUCUCUGGGCAACAACUGACGCUGGAGGAGCGAAAGCCGUGGGGAGCGAACAGG